GGAAGGUUUGUCUCUGUCUUGGUCAUAGUAAUGUUUGUAUUUACCUGUGGAUCCUAUUGAUUGUGAUAUACCUGCAUCAUCACUGUAAUCUUGCCCGGUAACUGGAUGCGUGGUUCAAAAUGGCUACAAUCUGUGGUUCUGCCUGGCUGUUAUGCUAAGGUACAAGGGGACUUGCUUUGCAGCUGAGGUGACCAAGAGGUGCCCUGAGCCCAAUUCAAUGUCAGGGAAGUAACGGGGCAGGGUGCCUGCUACUGUUAGCUGAGCUUGUGCUACUGGCAACCUGCAGCCCCAUAGGAUGAUGAAAGCUCCUGAUUAUACAUUUGAGCCUUUGUGCUUGUCUCUGAAGAAACAGAAAUGCCAUUCCAAUAUAAGUACUAAUACUAACCAUUUUAUCUAAUUCCUGUCAACAAAAUAACACAAGGAAACACCUAUGAGCUUUU